GAUGAAGAACGUAGCGAAAUGCGAUACUUGGUAUGAAUUGCAGAAUCCCGUGAACCAUCGAGUCUUUGAACGCAAGUUGCGCCUCAAGCCAUUAGGUUGAGGGCACGUCUGCCUGGGCGUCACAUAUCGUUGCCUGAUGCCAGUUUCCUCGUGAUGGGUGACUGUGCAGGGCGAAUGAUGGCUUCCCGUGAGCAUUGUUGCCUCAUGGUUGGUUGAAAAUUGAGUCCUUGGUAGGGAGCGCCGUGAUAGAUGGUGGUUGAGUGACGAACGAGACCCAAUCAUGUGAGACCCCUACCGAAUUUGGCCUUCAUGACCCACAUGCGUCUUUGGAACGCUCAUGACGAGACCUCAGGUCAGGCGGGGCUACCCGCUGAGUUUAAGCAUAUCAAUAAGCGGAGGA
rnacentral:misc_RNA from 1 species